GUAGUCAUAUGCUUGUCUCAAAGAUUAAGCCAUGCAUGUCUAAGUAUAAGCAAUUAUACCGCGAAACUGCGAAUGGCUCAUUAUAUAAGUUAUCGUUUAUUUGAUAAUACUUUACUACUUGGAUAACCGUGGUAAUUCUAGAGCUAAUACAUGCUAAAAAUCCCGACUUCGGAAGGGUUGUAUUUAUUAGAUUAAAAACCAAUGCCCCUCGGGGCUCUCUGGUGAAUCAUGAUAACUAGUCGAAUCGACAGGCCUUGUGCCGGCGAUGGCUCAUUCAAAUUUCUUCCCUAUCAACUUUCGAUGUUUGGGUAUUGUCCAAACAUGGUGGCAACGGGUAACGGAGGGUUAGGGCUCGACCCCGGAGAAGGAGCCUGAGAAACGGCUACUACAUCCAAGGAAGGCAGCAGGCGCGCGAAUUACCCAAUCCCGACACGGGGAGGUAGUGACAAUAAAUACUGAUACAGGGCUCUUUUGGGUCUUGUAAUCGGAAUGAGUACAAUUUAAAUCCCUUAACGAGGAA
rnacentral:rRNA from 1 species